ACCGGUACGGAGAAAUUGCACAGGAACUUUUCAAUUAGCGUGUCUAUAUGAUUAAUAUCGGGCUUUUUUGCGGUAUUUUCGGUUUAUAUAUAGUUGAGAUGUGUGAUAGGUGCCAUUUCAGUAGGUAAUAGAUUCUGCAUCUGUGUAGGAAUAAUAAGUACUUAGUUUAAGUGGAAACUAUUUGAAAUCUGUACUUAAUGGAGCUGAAAUCGAUUUACAUUUUGCAGUUUGGCCUGCUAAGUCAUCUAAUAACCCAAUCAGCAACAUGGCCAUUCUCUCCUGAGGUAGAAACGAUUGCAAUUUAUUCACCUUUGGACAAUAAAAAAUACGUUCCCCUUUCGGCCAAACUCAUCGAUUCAAGCGCUCCAGUAGAUGAUUCUUUGGCUACUAAAAAGGAUCUGAAACGGAAAGAUGUUGUUGUUGCUCAAUCCUCUUCGAUAUCCCAACCGCAAAGCCAUUUCGAAGAAGCAAAUCAUCCAAGUGGAAUAUUGAAGUUAGAGCCUGCAAAUUAUCACAGAAUAUCCAAAAGACAAACACGAAGAUUUCCGUUCUACCGGCCGGUGGCCAGGUUUAGUGGCUUCAGCAGUAGCAGGCGAAGAGUGGAUGGAUUCUUCAGAAGACCUGGCUUGGUUGGCUAUUUGAACGAUCGGGACUAUUUCCCGACAGUAGCUUGACCUGAUUUUUUUCUUCAAAUUAUUUAUAUUUAAUUUAUUUUUGAUUAAAUGGGGGGUUUUCCUCAACUAGCUGCUAGUCAAAACAGUGAUUUUGCACGUAGCAGUUGCUUACAACUGACUGUUCAACACCAAUCCUGUUAACUCAACAUUUAUUUACUGUUAGAAUCAUCUUAUUUGAAUCAAUAUUAUGCUUGCUAAAGCGAAUUCCAGAAUUUUAUGCCAUCUGCAACGAGGUGCUACAAUCAUUUGCAUAUUUCUCUCUAUUUUUAAGUUUUAUGUGUGGUUUUACAAUAUUUAUAUUGACUUGGGCAAUUUAUGGCUUUGGCAUUGUAUAAUUAGCAUUUCCAGAUCCAAAAUUAGCUCCAAGUUGAAAGUUGCUUGACUCAUUUGUGAUACUAAAUUGUUACUAAUUGCGAGAAAUGUGAUAAACAAUUUACCACGAACUUCAUGUGGUUGGGCUGAUUUUUUGCUACUUUUUUUUGAUUUAUCGAAAAUGGGUUUAUUUUCGAAUCGUGUAAACUUGAAAAUGAGUCAAUACAGAUAUUUUUCGAAA
rnacentral:lncRNA from 1 species